CAGGUGGCUUGUGCAGCACAAUCUCUCAGCAUGGCAGUGAAUACACAAUGUCCCAGGAGGAAUGGGAUUGAAGAGGACAAUGGAAUGUUUUGUGGAGUGAUGCGCACUUUAUGCUCUCGGAACAAUCAUAGUUAUCACGUUUGGGGAUCGUCGCUGCCAACGAACAUUCAUGAAAUUUACCUCCAUAGUGCAUGUGUCACUGUGUGCUGUGGCUUCACACAACAGUUCUUUGAAGAACUUGACCCCAAGCACCAAGCAGCGUGAACAGCACACAUUACUGUGAUAUGCUUCGCCAACAUGUGAUCCCUGCUCUGUGGAAGAGAGGUGCUGUGGACUAGACUGGUUGGAUACAUGAUGGAGUUCCACCUCGCAUUGCUUGCAAGGUCUCUCGGUCACUCCAUAUUUGGAGAAAAUCAAAUCAUUGGGUAAUCAUUCCAAACUUAAUGACUGUCAAGAUCACCAGAUUUGAACCUGUGUGAUUUCUGGGUGCAGGGUUACCUGAAGGACAGGGUUUAUCAAUGGAAUACUUGAGUAUCGGAUCUUCCACCUGGGAUGCCCUGUUUAAUCAAUCAAGGUAAACCCAGAAGAUGAAUGGCCAUGAUAACUAUUCAGACAUGUAAAGCAUCUUGGUGCUUGGAGGGCAAAAUCAGAGGAAGAAUGGCUAUGACAUUUACAUAGUUAAACAAGGCAAAACCAAUGGAUGGAUGGCCAUGAUGAUUGUGAAUUCAAAUUGUUGUGCAUCUUAUGGAUUAGAGGCAAAAUGACUUGCGGUAAUAAAUACACAUGGCCCUGACAACUAUAUGCGAAUGUGCAAGUCAUUGUACUUACCGCAAGACAGAACUAUGGAAAAAUUAUAGUUAUUGUUCAACUGAACAAAGAAAAACCUGUGGACAAAUGGACAUAAUGACUAAAUUCACGCAUUAUCUGAUCUGUUGGAGCAAAAUACCAUUGUGAUGAAUGUGUGAUUAAAAGAAGUAAGUUCUUUUCUGUAAAAGGCACAAGGUUACUGAUGUGCCCUUAUCAUCAGUAUGUAAUUGCACAAACGUUAUGAAGAUUCCAUCAAGAAAAGAGCCCUAAGUGAAUGUGCAAAAUGACCAUGGAAAAAUAUGUGAUCCAGUCACAUUAACGUGACCACUGCCUAUGUUUAGCAUCAAUGUGCAAGAAUCACUCAGAUGGCAGGUGGCAGCACUAGCAGAGGAGGGUAUACAAAGCAUGUCAGAGGCACGCGGAAAACACUGCAGUCAUUUUCAUAAUGUGAAAACGGAGCAAUGUAUCUGACGUCCAAAGAGACAUAAUAAUUGACUUUCUGUCUGAGGAUGGAAGCAUUUCUGAAACGUCUUAAGUUCGUAAACUGUUUGCAAGUAACUGCUGUUAAUGUAUACUGGCACUGUAAGUAUGGUGCUCCACGGGCCUUAAAUGGCAGGGGUGAAUGACGGUUGCAGGGAUGUGUGUGGACAAAGAGGUGUGCAACUAUUGAGCAACUGACUGCCCAGAUGAACUAAGGCGAGCUAACACUGCAUUAUCAAUGAAUUUUCAGUGAAUGUUGCUGCAUAUGAACGUCUGUAGCAGGUGUCUCACACAUGCUGACGGCUGUUCAUCGGAAUGAAGGCUGGAAUUUGCACUGCAGUACCACAACUGGACAUAAACUUAGUGCCAGGUUUU